rnacentral:rRNA from 1 species
GAUGAACGCUGGCGGCGUGCCUAAUACAUGCAAGUCGAGCGAACGGACGAGAAGCUUGCUUCUCUGAUGUUAGCGGCGGACGGGUGAGUAACACGUGGAUAACCUACCUAUAAGACUGGGAUAACUUCGGGAAACCGGAGCUAAUACCGGAUAAUAUUUUGAACCGCAUGGUUCAAAAGUGAAAGACGGUCUUGCUGUCACUUAUAGAUGGAUCCACGCUGCAUUAGCUAGUUGGUAAGGUAACGGCUUACCAAGGCAACGAUGCAUAGCCGACCUGAGAGGGUGAUCGGCCACACUGGAACUGAGACACGGUCCAGACUCCUACGGGAGGCAGCAGUAGGGAAUCUUCCGCAAUGGGCGAAAGCCUGACGGAGCAACGCCGCGUGAGUGAUGAAGGUCUUCGGAUCGUAAAACUCUGUUAUUAGGGAAGAACAUAUGUGUAAGUAACUGUGCACAUCUUGACGGUACCUAAUCAGAAAGCCACGGCUAACUACGUGCCAGCAGCCGCGGUAAUACGUAGGUGGCAAGCGUUAUCCGGAAUUAUUGGGCGUAAAGCGCGCGUAGGCGGUUUUUUAAGUCUGAUGUGAAAGCCCACGGCUCAACCGUGGAGGGUCAUUGGAAACUGGAAAACUUGAGUGCAGAAGAGGAAAGUGGAAUUCCAUGUGUAGCGGUGAAAUGCGCAGAGAUAUGGAGGAACACCAGUGGCGAAGGCGACUUUCUGGUCUGUAACUGACGCUGAUGUGCGAAAGCGUGGGGAUCAAACAGGAUUAGAUACCCUGGUAGUCCACGCCGUAAACGAUGAGUGCUAAGUGUUAGGGGGUUUCCGCCCCUUAGUGCUGCAGCUAACGCAUUAAGCACUCCGCCUGGGGAGUACGACCGCAAGGUUGAAACUCAAAGGAAUUGACGGGGACCCGCACAAGCGGUGGAGCAUGUGGUUUAAUUCGAAGCAACGCGAAGAACCUUACCAAAUCUUGACAUCCUUUGACAACUCUAGAGAUAGAGCUUUCCCCUUCGGGGGACAAAGUGACAGGUGGUGCAUGGUUGUCGUCAGCUCGUGUCGUGAGAUGUUGGGUUAAGUCCCGCAACGAGCGCAACCCUUAAGCUUAGUUGCCAUCAUUAAGUUGGGCACUCUAAGUUGACUGCCGGUGACAAACCGGAGGAAGGUGGGGAUGACGUCAAAUCAUCAUGCCCCUUAUGAUUUGGGCUACACACGUGCUACAAUGGACAAUACAAAGGGCAGCGAAACCGUGAGGUCAAGCAAAUCCCAUAAAGUUGUUCUCAGUUCGGAUUGUAGUCUGCAACUCGACUACAUGAAGCUGGAAUCGCUAGUAAUCGUAGAUCAGCAUGCUACGGUGAAUACGUUCCCGGGUCU